rnacentral:rRNA from 1 species
AGAGUUCGAUUAUGGCUCAGGAUGAACGCUGGCGGCGUGCUUAACACAUGCAAGUCGAACGAAGCGCUUAAGAUUGAUUCUUCGGAUGACGUCUUUUGUGACUUAGUGGCGGACGGGUGAGUAGCGCGUGGGUAACCUGCCUCACACAGGGGGAUAACAGUUAGAAAUGACUGCUAAUACCGCAUAACCCGAUAGGAUCGCAUGAUCCAGACGGAAAAGAUUUAUCGGUGUGAGAUGGACCCGCGUCUGAUUAGCUAGUUGGUGAGGUAACGGCCCACCAAGGCGACGAUCAGUAGGGGUUCUGAGAGGAAGGUCCCCCACAUUGGAACUGAGACACGGUCCAA